rnacentral:rRNA from 1 species
CUACGGGAUGCUGCAGUGGGGAAUAUUGGACAAUGGGGGAAACCCUGAUCCAGCAAUGCCGCGUGUGUGAAGAAGGCCUGCGGGUUGUAAAGCACUUUCGGUUGGGAGGACUGCUUCUAGCACUAAUAUUGUUGGAAGUUGACGUUACCUUCAGAAGAAGCACCGGCUAACUCCGUGCCAGCAGCCGCGGUAAUACGGAGGGUGCACGCGUUAAUCGAAUUACUGGGCGUAAAGCGCGCGUAGGCGGCUAGAUCAGUCGGGUGUGAAAGCCCCGGGCUUAACCUGGGAACUGCAUCCGAUACUGUCUAGCUUGAGUACAGGAGAGGAGAGUGGAAUUCCACAUGUAGCGGUGAAAUGCGUAGAUAUGUGGAGGAACACCAAUGGCGAAGGCAGCUCUCUGGCCUGAUACUGACGCUGAGGUGCGAAAGCGUGGGGAGCAAACAGGAUUAGAUACCCUAGUAGUC